GACGAACGCUGGCGGCGUGCUUAACACAUGCAAGUCGAACGAGAGGAGAAGGAAGCUUGCUUCUUUCAAAUCUAGUGGCAAACGGGUGAGUAACACGUAAACAACCUGCCUUCAGGAUGGGGACAACAGACGGAAACGACUGCUAAUACCGAAUACGUUCCUUAGGUCGCAUGAUCUUAGGAAGAAAGGGUGGCCUCUACCUGUAAGCUAUCUCCUGAAGAGGGGUUUGCGUCUGAUUAGGUAGUUGGUGAGGUAACGGCCCACCAAGCCGACGAUCAGUAGCCGGUCUGAGAGGAUGAACGGCCACACUGGAACUGAGACACGGUCCAGACUCCUACGGGAGGCAGCAGUGGGGAAUCUUCCGCAAUGGGCGAAAGCCUGACGGAGCAACGCCGCGUGAGUGAUGACGGCC
rnacentral:rRNA from 1 species